UCCCGACUUCCUUUUUUAACAUCCUUCAAACCAAUCAUUCAUUACAUCUCUAAGAUGCAAAAAUAGCUUAAAGUUCCUUGAUUCCAACCAUCAUAUCACAAAUUAUAGAAGAUUUCAUAGCCAAAAUAAGGAUGUUACUAGCCUAAAAUAAAGAUGUUACAGUGAUUACAACAACUAACAUAUCCCCUUUGCUACAAAAUAUCAAACACCUUUAGAGCAUAUCCCCAUAGCCAAAAUAAAGAUGUUGCUAGCCUAAAAGUACCCCUUCCAAAAAGUCAGUGAUUACAACUGUACCUUUAGAGCACCCUCUAAUCACCAUUAAGCAUACUGAUUACUGACCGUCAUUGUCUUCAUCAUAUCCACCACCCAUCUCACAAAUUUUCUCCAAACAUCCUUUUCCACGUAGACCACGCCCACCACGCAACCGGCUUUUGUGCUUGAAUGGUAGAAAAAUAUAGAGGUCCCUAUUCGCAUGGAUUUCAUAUUCCUCUGGGCUUUCUUGUUCUUCACCACGUUUCACUUUGAUACACCUUCAUUGGCUUCUUGGUCCUCCCAUGACCACUCUUAAAUUCUAGACUUACAUCCAUGUUCUUCUCUCAUUAAUCCAACUUGAAUAUGAAGAUUUAGAUUCUCGGGAAAGAAUUUAUAGAAGACGAAGGGUUUUCACUUUUU
rnacentral:lncRNA from 1 species